rnacentral:rRNA from 1 species
CCCGAAAGGGGGCAAACGCGCUGAACUGAAACAUCUAAGUAGGCGUAGGAAGAGAAAACAAUAGUGAUUUCCGGAGUAGCGGCGAGCGAAAUGGAAAUAGCCCAAACCGAGAUUGUUUCGGCAAUUUCGGGGUUGUAGGACUACAUCAUGGACUUAUAAAGUAUAGUGGAACAACUUGGAACGGUUGGCUAUAGAGGGUGAAAGCCCCGUACACGAAAUAUUUUAUAUACCUAGUAGUAUCCUGAGUAGGGCGGGACAUGUGUAAUCCUGUCUGAAUCUACCAGAACCAUCUGGUAAGGCUAAAUACUCCUCAGAGACCGAUAGCGAACGAGUACCGUGAGGGAAAGGUGAAAAGAACCCUGAACAAGGGAGUGAAAAAGAUCCUGAAACUGUGUGUCUACAAGCGGUCGAAGCCUACGGGCGACGGCGUGCCUUUUGCAUAAUGAUCCUACGAGUUACUCCUCAUUGGCAAGGUUAAGUGUUUAAGACACGGAGCCGAAGCGAAAGCGAGUCUGAAUAGGGCGAAAUAGUCAGUGGGGGUAGACGCGAAACCUUGUGAUCUACCCAUGGCCAGGUUGAAGUUCCGGUAACACGGAAUGGAGGACCGAACCGAUAAGCGUUGAAAAGCUUUCGGAUGAGCUGUGGGUAGGGGUGAAAGGCCAAUCAAACUGGGAAAUAGCUCGUACUCCCCGAAAUGUUUUUAGGAACAGCGUGGGAAUUAGUUUAUCAGAGGUAGAGCUACCGAUUGGACUAGGGGGAGUCAAAUCCUACCAAAUCCAGACGAACUCCGAAUGCUGAUAAAUAUUUCCUGCAGUGAGGGUAAGGGUGCUAAGGUCCUUAUCCGAGAGGGAAAGAACCCAGACCUACUGCUAAGGUCCCUAAAUUUACGCUAAGUUGAACUAAGGAGGUUCAGUUGCUUAGACAGCCAGGAGGUUGGCUUGGAAGCAGCCAUUCCUUUAAAGAGUGCGUAACAGCUCACUGGUCGAGCGACAGAGCAUCGAUAAUAAUCGGGCAUUAAGUGUAAUACCGAAGCAUAGGAUUUGUAGUUUACUACAAGUGGUAGGGGAGCAUUCUCUGUGCGGUGAAGGCGUGCUGUGAGGCAUGUUGGAGCGCAGAGAAGCGCAGAUGUAGGCAUAAGUAACGAUAAUGCGGGCGAGAAACCCGCACACCGAAAGACUAAGGUUUCCUCAGCUAUGCUAAUCAGCUGAGGGUUAGUCAGGACCUAAGGCGAACCCGAAAGGGGUAGUCGAUGGACAACAGGUUAAUAUUCCUGUACCUGCUCACGUUAAAAGUGACGGAGGCGAAAAGUUAGUGCGCACAGACGGAAUUGUGCGUUGAAGAGAGUGGUAACACCUCGAUAGUACACUAAGGCUACGGCUGCGGUGAUAAUCUAGCAAAUCGACUUCCAAGAAAAGCGAGUGAAGCAGCCUGUACCCUAAACCGACACAGGUAGUUGGGAUGAGAAUUCUAAGGUGCUCGAGAGAUUCAUGGCUAAGGAACUAGGCAAAAUCGACCCGUAACUUCGGGAGAAGGGUCGCCCAUCUUCGGAUGGGCCGCAGUGAAAAGAUCCAGGCGACUGUUUAUCAAAAACACAGGGCUAUGCUAAAUCGAAAGAUGACGUAUAUGGCCUGACACCUGCCCGGUGCCGGAAGGUUAAGAGGAGGGGUUAGCUUCGGCGAAGCUCUGAAUUGAAGCCCCGGUAAACGGCGGCCGUAACUAUAACGGUCCUAAGGUAGCGAAAUUCCUUGUCGGGU